GGUAAAUAGCUCAGUGGUAGAGUGCAUGCUUAGCAGGCAUGAGGUCCUGGGUUCAAUCCCCAGCAUCACCA
rnacentral:tRNA from 1 species